rnacentral:rRNA from 1 species
GACGAACGCUGGCGGCGUGCUUAACACAUGCAAGUCGAACGGAAAGGCCCUGCUUUUGUGGGGUGCUCGAGUGGCGAACGGGUGAGUAACACGUGAGUAACCUGCCCUUGACUUUGGGAUAACUUCAGGAAACUGGGGCUAAUACCGGAUAGGAGCUCCUGCUGCAUGGUGGGGGUUGGAAAGUUUCGGCGGUUGGGGAUGGACUCGCGGCUUAUCAGCUUGUUGGUGGGGUAGUGGCUUACAAAGGCUUUGACGGGUAGCCGGCCUGAGAGGGUGACCGGCCACAUUGGGACUGAGAAACGGCCCAGACUCCUACGGGAGGCAGCAGUGGGGAAUAUUGCACAAUGGGCGGAAGCCUGAUGCAGCAACGCCGCGUGCGGGAUGACGGCCUUCGGGUUGUAAACCGCUUUCGCCUGUGACGAAGCGUGAGUGACGGUAAUGGGUAAAGAAGCACCGGCUAACUACGU